CCGGAGCGGAUGGAACUUGUGUGGGUGCGGUGUCUCCGGUCGAGGGGGAAGCAUCCGCAACGUGGUUGGUAGGCCACUUUGAAUUUGGUGCCAACAGGAUGCUGUAUGGACUAGCUAGACAGUAGGCAGCAUAAUCCCUUCCAAUACAUCAACAAACAUCAGUGCCGCCUUAUCUGGAUUCAGCUCAGUUUGUCCACCCUCAGCUGUCUGACCACAGCAUCCAGACACUGGCUCAGCACAGAGAGCUGAAUGGACUAGUUAGGCAGAAGCCAGCUAUUUUAUCCUUUCAGUGGUUCAGAGGACAGAAUUGUGUGCUGCAGCCAACUGGCAAGGAGUGUAAACAGUGCCAUACGAGAGUGAAUAAGCAGUCAACAGGUGAGUCACGCAGGUAUGCCAAGGUCAUUUCUGCCUUCCCCAAGGUUAGGCAGACCCACACAUGUGACCUACACAUAAACAAGAACCAGGGUCAAGUCUGGAUGGUGAAGGAGCAAUUUGUUCUUCCCUUGGAGUUUUUCAGCAACUGCAAUUAAGGCUGUGUGGCACAACAGGUUCUACUGACUCCCAUCUUCUAACCUGGAAUCUUUUAUGGCUUGUGUCACUUGGAACAAGGGGAGGGGGCAAUGAUAGCUUUAAGUUUCUGAUGACUCAAGUGAGCCUGAAGACAUCCAGCAGCUUAGUGGAUGAAGGUAGAGAAAAAAACGCUUUUGAAUUAUCGCUAAGAACAAUCUCACCCAUUUUUAAGUGCCACAUCCAUUUCUUCCUGACAAUGUCUGUAUUUGUAUCUCAUAUUGACUCUUGCUUAUUAGCUAUGCCUAUUCUGGAUGGUAUUUCUGGGAACUGGAUCUCACUGAAUGUUGCAGUUGUGAACAUCACAGCAUUUGGGGAAUUACAGGUGCUGUGCCAAUAAUAAAAGUAUCGCUUUUGAUCUCUCAA